rnacentral:rRNA from 1 species
GGUUUGAUCAUGGCCUGAUUGAACGCUGGCGGGAUGCUUUACACAUGCAAGUCGAACGGCAGCACGGACUUCGGUCUGGUGGCGAGUGGCGAACGGGUGAGUAAUGUAUCGGAACGUGCCUAGUAGCGGGGAUAACUACGCGAAAGCGGGGUAGCUAAUACCGCAUAUUGCCCUUCGGGGGAAAGCGGGGACCUUCGGGCCUCGCACUAGAGCGGCCGAUAUCGGAUUAGCUAGUUGGUGGGGUAACGGCUCGACCAAGGCGACGAUCCGUAGCUGGUUUGAGAGGACGACCAGCCACACUGGGACUGAGACAGGCUCCAGACUUACGGGAGGCAGCAGUGGGGAAUUUUGGACAAUGGGGGAAAAAACCCCUGAUCCAGCCAUCCCGCGUGUGCGAUGAAGGCUCUCGGGUUGUAAAGCACUUUGGCAGUGGGAGAAGAAAAUGGCACUGGAUAAUACCUCGCGCAACUGACGGUACCUGUGAGAAUAAGCACCGGCUAACUACGUGCCAGCAGCCGCGGUAAUACGUAGGGUGCAAGCGUUAAUCGGAAUUUACUAAGCGUAAAGGUGCGGCAGGCGGUUCGAAAGAAAGAUGUGAAAUCCCAGAGCUUAACUUUGGAACUGCAUUUUUAACUACCGAGCUAGAGUGUGUCAGUGAGGGAGGUGGAAUUCGCGUGUAGCAGUGGGAAUGCGUAGAUAUGGAGGAACACCGAUGGCGAAGGCAGCCUCCUCUGGGAUAACACUGACGCUCAUGCACGAAAGCGUGGGGAGCAAACAGGAUUAGAUACUCCUGGUAGUCCACGCCCUAAACGAUGUCAACAGCUGUUGGGGCCUUCGGGCCUUAUAGCGCAGCUAACGCGUGAAGCGACCGCCUGGGGAGUACGGUCGGAAGAUUAAAACUCAAAGGAAUUGACGGGGACUCCGCACAAGCGGUGGAUGAUGUGGAUUAAUUCGAUGCAACGCGCGAAAACCUUACCUACCUCCUUGACAUGUCUGAAACCUGAAGAGAUUUGGGAGUGCUCGCAAGAGAACCGGAACACAGGUGCUGUAAUGGCUGUCGUCAGCUCGUGUCGUGAGAUGUUGGGUUAAGUCCCGCAACGAGCGCAACCCUUGUCAUUAGUUGCUACGAAAGGGCACUCUAAUGAGACUGCCGGUGACAAACCGGAGGAAGGUGGGGGAUGACGUCAAGUCCUCAUGGCCCUUAUGGGUAGGGCUUCACACGUCAUACAAUGUCGGGACAGAGGGUCGCCAACCCGCGAGGGGGAGCCAAUCCGUGAAACCCGAUCGUGGGUCUGGAUCGCAGUCUGCAACUCGGACUGCGGUGAAGUCGGAAUCGCUAGUAAUCGCGGAUCAGCAUGUCGCGGUGAAUACGUUCCCGGCCUUGUACACACCGCCCGUCACACCAUGGAGUGGGUUUUACCAGAAGUAGUUAGCCCAACCGUAAGGAGGGCGAUUACCACGGUAGGAUUCAUGACUGGGGUGAAGUCGUAACAAGGUAGCCC